rnacentral:rRNA from 1 species
UACGAGGGGCAAGCGUUGUUCGGAAUUACUGGGCGUAAAGGGGCGCGUAGGCGGCCUGCUAAGUCGAACGUGAAAUCCCCGGGCUCAACCCGGGAACCUGCGUCCGAUACUGGCAGGCUUGAAUCGGGAGAGGGAGGCGGGAAUUCCAGGUGUAGCGGUGAAAAUGCGUAGAUAUCUGGAGGAAUGCCGGUGGCGAAGGCGGCAUCCUGGACCGAGAUUGACACUUGAUGAGCGGAAAGCCAGGGG